rnacentral:tRNA from 1 species
UCAUCGUUAGUAUAGUGGUGAGUAUCCCCGCCUGUCACGCCGGAGACCGGGGUUCGAUUCCCCGACGGGGAG